GCUGACGAGUGGCGGACGGGUGAGUAAUGCUUGGGGAUCUGGCUUAUGGAGGGGGAUAACGACGGGAAACUGUCGCUAAUACCGCGUAGAAUCGGGAGAUGAAAGUGUGGGACCUUCGGGCCACAUGCCAUAGGAUGAACCCAAGUGGGAUUAGGUAGUUGGUGAGGUAAAGGCUCACCAAGCCGACGAUCUCUAGCUGGUCUGAGAGGAUGACCAGCCACACUGGGACUGAGACACGGCCCAGACUCC
rnacentral:rRNA from 1 species